rnacentral:rRNA from 1 species
AGUGAACGCUGGCGGUAGGCCUAACACAUGCAAGUAGAACGGCAGCACAGUAAGUGCUUGCUCUUACGGGUGGCGGGUGGCGGACGGGUGAGGAAUACAACGUAAUCUACUUUUUCGUGGGGGAUAACGUAGGGAAACUUACGCUAAUACCGCAUACGACCUACGGGUGCAAUCAGUGGAUCUUCGCACCUUGCGCGCUAGCAUGAGCCGAUGUGGUAUUAGCCAGUUGGCGGGGUAAAGGCGCACCAAGGCGACGAUCCGCAGCUGGUCUGAGAGGAUGAUCAGCCACACGGGAACUGAGACACGGUCCAGACUCCUACGGGAGGCAGCAGAGGGGAAUAUUGGACAAUGGGCGAAAGCCUGAUCCAGCCAUACCGCGUGGGUGAAGAAGGCCUUCGGGUUGUAAAGCCCGUUUGUUGGGAAAGAAAAGCAGCAGGUUAAUACCCCGCUGUUCUGACGGUACCCAAAGAAUAAGCACCGGCUAACUUCGUG